rnacentral:rRNA from 1 species
CCUACGGGAGGCAGCAGUGGGGAAUAUUGCACAAUGGGGGCAACCCUGAUCCAGCGACGCCGCGUGAGUGAAGAAGUAAUUCGUUAUGUAAAGCUCUAUCAGCAGGGGAGAAAAGGACGGUACCUGAGUAAGUAGCCACGGCUAACUACGAGAAAGCAGCCGCGGUAAUACGGAGGGGGCCAGAGUUAUCCGGAUUUACUGGGUGUAAAGGGGGCGUAGACGGCAGUGCAGGUCUGGAGUGAAAGGCGGGGGCUCAACCCCCGAACUGCACUGGAAACCGGACGGAUGGAGUUCAGGAGAGGUAAGUGGAAUUCCUAGUGUAGCGGUGAAAGGCGUAGAUAUUAGGAAGAACACCGAUGGCGAAGGCAGCUUACUAGACUGUAACUGACGUUGAGGCUCGAAAGCGUGGGGAGCAAACAGGAUUAGAUACCCCUGUAGUC